CUGAGUAAACAAAACCAGCUUCUGUUUUCUGAACUGUAAACAACCAAAAAUGUUGUUGCUUUCUCUCUGUGAUAUUGAUGAUGUAAUAAUGUUGUGGGAGAAGAGAAGAAUAAAAUAUGGCUACAGCAAAACAAGCUAGAAUGAAUUGUAGGCAAUAUAGUGUGGACUAUCUUAAGUAUGGUCUUGUGCCAUACCAAAAAACAAGAAGCAACCAACGUUCCAACUGGGUGAGAAAGUUUUUUUCAAACAAAACCAUGAAACCUUCCAAAAUGCCCUCUGAAAAAGCAGAGAAAACGUUGAUAUAUUCCCAGUCACUUGAAGAAAACUUUCUGAAGUGAAAAAUCAUUGGAAAUAUGUUUGCUAGCAUUUCACAAGCUAGUGGUGGAUUGUGUGCAUCAUACAGCACCUCAUUGCUAAUUGCUAGACCUGGCAAGCUUCAUACAACAGGAGAGAAGUUUAUUAUGCCAGCAAUAAGAGCAGUUUUGCACACAAUUGUAUGUAAGUCACCUGAAGAAAUUAUUAAAGCUAUUCUUUUAAGUGAUAAUUCUGUUGAAAGAAUAGUGGAUAAAAUGCAAACAUUGAAGACAUGUUGUGCAGCAUACUUAGAAGAACUGAAUUUAGCCUACAGUUAGAUGAGUCACCUCUACAAGGCAAUAAAAGUUUUCUUCUUG